UGAAUGUGCGAGAAGCCAUAAACCUCGGGUUAAAAAAGCUAAAUUUCGAAGAUAUCAGAGAGAAUCAACGGAAAGUCGUAGAAGCUUACCUCGGUGGCUGAGAUGUUUUGAUAAUUUCGUCGACAGGAUCGGAAAAAAUUUUGCCUUUCAUAUCGCGCCAUUUGCGAUAGAUUUCUUUAAACAUGGCGAAAGAGAUGGUAUUCAGACGGUGUGCCUUGUACUUUUUCCUCUGGUUUCGCUAAUGAAUGACCAAGUGUCUAGCUUACGUGAAAAAGGAAUCAAGGCUGUUGUUAUGGGUCCAGACAGUUCAGAAACCGAAAACAAGGAAGCCUCAGAGGGCAAAUGCAACCGUGUGUUCACAAGCCCCGAAGCUUUGUUUUGUAGUCAUCAGUCCGCGAUUCUCACAUUGAAGAACAAAAUCGAAGCUGUAUUCAUUGAUGAAGUGCAUUGUGUGGCGAAAUGGUUAUACUACUUUUCGAUCACCUUCUUUUCUUCUGUCCCAAGUUCGCUUUUGUCGUCUUCCGCGGCUUUCUCACUGAUAUUUCACAUUUACAUUCAUGUAAGUUUUGAUGUAGUGCACUGUGCAAAAGUAAUCAAAGCGAAUUUCGUCUUUUCGCUAACAAGGCCUCAAUUUAGAGCGGUUAAAACAACAGCGGCAUCGAAAACUCGCGAACGAUUUGUUCAAGUGUCGUAUCCUUCGAAAUUUCGCUACUAUUAGUCGAAAUCCGAGGAAAUUUGUCGGGGUUCUAUUUCGAGAUUAUCAGGACUAACACCAAAGUAAAGAUUUCAGUCAAACAACCACUGGAGGGAUGGAUUGUUGGAGAGAUAACACCAGAGUUCAUUACACAAGCAAGUUUAAAGGAAUCUUAUCAAACAAUUCCCAGAGCAACAAUACAGUUUAAACAUGACAAUGGCCACAACAAAGACUUCCUUUGUAUAAUGAACUUACUGCUGAAAAUAUAACAACAACAAUUUGCACAGUUGCCUCGAUUAGAGAGAAUCCAUUUGGAAAGUUUCAAGGGUGCCAACCAGGAUGUGGUAAUGACAGUUAUCCAAUGGUGACUGGGAGAAACUGGUGUGGUCCACUGAUCAUAAACCAAGACAAACCAUCACCCUGCCUGAAAGAUCUCCCAGAAGAGGCAAUGAAAGCUCUUUGUGAGAAACUCGAUAUGCCCCUGAAGGGAGUUGGCAAUUGGAGGCAUGUUGCAACAAGCCUUGGAUUCACUGAGGAAGAGAUUCAGAUUUUCCGAAAUGAAAUGUUGACUCCGGAUGGAAGUCCUUGCACUGUUAUGUUAGAAGCACUGAUGGUGAAGUCACCUCAGUGUACUUUGACAGAAUCUGUGCAAAUUCUACAAGCAAGGAAAAUUCAGCACUAUGAUGCUGUGGAGGUUCUUGAGCCCCAUUUACACAGCUAUAGAGAAUAAUCUUCACAACAAUGAAGAGAUUUUCUCAUCACUUCACUUUUAGACAGACCUGUCGAACUUUCUGGCUUAUCUAUUGACAACACGGAUUGACAACAAAAGUAAAAAAAA